rnacentral:ncRNA from 2 species
GGAUGCGAUAGAGGCGCGGUAAGCAUUAGUAUCUGUGUGAUAAUGGAUGCCAUCCACAGGGUGGCGGACAGCGGGGAUCUUUGUCCCGGAGGCCGGCAGGCGGAGAACACAGAGAAAGGGAUUACUGCCGAAACAGAUUCUGUCUGCCGGCGGAAUGUGUUGGGAUGCAGUCAAACAGGCUGCAUACUCUCACUUUUAAAGUGGUGGAGCUAUUGGCUGG